UACGUAGGGUGCAAGCGUUAAUCGGAAUUACUGGGCGUAGAGCGUGCGCAGGCGGUUAUGCAAGACAGAUGUGAAAUCCCCGGGCUCAACCUGGGAACUGCAUUUGUGACUGUAUAGCUAGAGUACGGUAGAGGGGGAUGGAAUUCCGCGUGUAGCAGUGAAAUGCGUAGAUAUGCGGAGGAACACCGAUGGCGAAGGCAAUCCCCUGGACCUGUACUGACGCUCAUGCACGAAAGCGUGGGGAGCAAACAGG
rnacentral:rRNA from 1 species